rnacentral:rRNA from 2 species
GACAGAGGGUGCAAACGUUGUUCGGAAUUACUGGGCGUAAAGCGCAUGUAGGCGGCUCGGAAAGUCGGAUGUGAAAGCCCAGGGCUCAACCCUGGAAGUGCACUCGAAACUCCCGAGCUGGAGUCCCGGAGAGGAAGGCGGAAUUCUCGGUGUAGAGGUGAAAUUCGUAGAUAUCGAGAGGAACACCUGUGGCGAAGGCGGCCUUCUGGACGGUGACUGACGCUGAGAUGCGAAAGCGUGGGGAGCAAACAGG